GAUGAACGCUGACGGAAUGCUUAACACAUGCAAGUCGAUGGGUAAGUGGUGCUUGCACCAUGGCAACCAUGGCGGACGGGUGAGUAACGCGUAAGGGACUUACCUGCAGGACUGGGAUAACAGGGGGAAACUCCUGACAAGACCGGAUAAUGUCAUGUAGCUGCAUGGCUUUAUGAUGAAAGGAGACGCCUGCGGAGAGCCUUGCGUCCUAUUAGCUAGUUGGUGAGGUAAUGGCUCACCAAGGCGAAGAUAGGUAGCCGGCGUGAGAGGGUGGACGGCCAAAAGGGGAGUGAGGUACGGCCCUUAAUCCUACGGGAGGCAGCAGUGGGGAAUAUUGGACAAUGGGGGCAAACCUGAUCCAGCAAUUCUGUGUGAACGAAGAAGGUUUUCGGAUUGUAGAGUGCGUAGAAGAGAAGAAGUAAGUGACGGUACCUGCAGAAGAAGCGACGGCUAAAUACGUG
rnacentral:rRNA from 1 species